GCUCUGAAGUACAUGGACUACAUCUUCACAGGUGUCUUCACCUUUGAGAUGGUGAUAAAGAUGAUUGACUUGGGACUGCUCCUUCACCCUGGAGCCUACUUCCGGGACCUGUGGAACAUUCUGGACUUCAUUGUGAGGAUCCAAAGGGAAAGACAUCAACACCAUCAAGUCCCUAAGAGUUCUGC